rnacentral:rRNA from 1 species
GCAGAGGAAGAGGCCACUUCCAAGAGAAUUGAGCCAGCUCAAGGCACUAAGCCAGGUCUAAAAAUCAAAAGGCCAGCAGGCAGGCAGCCCAUGUCAAAGGCUAGAGCCUCAACUGAGAAGCCCACUCCCCAAGAGCCAGUUGCAGCUGAGGGCAAGAAAAGGAAGGAGAGGGUGAAGAAGACUGUGGCUAGGGUACUUGGCAAAGCUUCCAUCAUGGAAGAGGAGGAAGAAGAAGAGGAGGCAGCUGCACCAACGCCCAAGGCACCCAAGCUUAUGGGAGAUGCCAUAAAAUCAGGGGGAGCUGCUUCCAAAGCCAAGUCAGCUCCAAAGCCCAAGAGGAAUACACGGAGCAUCCCUGCAGCUGAAAAGAACAAGGCCCCAGUGCCUGAGACUGUUGCUGAAGAAGAAGAGGAAAAUGUCCUAAGGAAGCUAAAGCCCAAGAUCCCAGACCACAACGAUGCUCAUCCUGUGGCUGAGGACAUGAAGCUCAGAAGAGAUUCAGGGCUGAGGAAAUGGAGAGAAGCAGACCCAUAUGCUUCAAGGAGAAGGAAUGCCGUGGACUACAAGUUUCACACCAAGGAGCAGCAGGAUUUCUAUGAGACUAUGCUGUUAGAUAAGAAGCCCAUUGUCUGUGAUAUGCGUUGGGUUGAUUGGACAUACAUCAAGGACAACAAGGAGCACUAUCCUGGAGUGCAAGACAGCUUCAUAGCUUGUGGAGUAGCUGACUUUGUUGGGCAGAAGCUCACAAAGUGGAACGAAGAACUCAUCAUGCAGUUCUACUCCACAGCUCACUUUUAUCCAGAUGGGAGGAUCACAUGGAUGUCUGAGGGUACAAGGUACCAAUCUACAGUGGCUGAGUGGGCACAGAUCAUAAAUGCCCUAGAGGAGCAAGAUGAUGACUUGGAUAUCUAUGCCAAGAAGAAGAUGGACCAUAACUCCAUGUCCAAUAUGUACAAGGAAAUUCCCAAUGAAGCACUUGAUACCUUCAAGUUUGGCUCAGUACAUUACCUUCUGUCAGGGCUCCCG